rnacentral:lncRNA from 1 species
GGUUGACUGGGUCCCUGAGGAUAUAAGGCUCAUAUCAGUGACCUCUUCUUCCAUCCUUCAGAGCAAGUCUAAAAGCAGCUGAUUAUCAUCCUGUUUGUUGGUUCUGAAUUGAGUCAGUCCUAAAGGACCAGGGCUUCAUUUUCCGUUGUGAAGAACACAACACAACACACCAGCCUGGCUGACAGGAGGCAGCGGAAAACUGAAGACCAGGAGAUUUCUCCAAAAUGGCCCCCUGACAUGCACAUCUAAGGCUGGCCCUGAUUGACAUCAAGUGUAGCAAUUAAACCCACCAGCUGAUGAAGAAUGGAAGCUCCAGUGAGUUGCGAUGCUUCCAGGGAAAUGAUCAGAGAGCCCGGAGAAAAGCAG